CACACGUAAGGUUUGGGGCCGUCCGGGAGAAAUCCGGGCAGUUCCACCCGGUGGCGCUUUCGAAGAAAGCGCUGUUUGCCUUGCGGAGGUUCAACCGGAAAAGGAGAAAAAGG
rfam:Pararhizobium polonicum strain F5.1 contig_7, whole genome shotgun sequence.